rnacentral:rRNA from 1 species
GAUGAACGCUGGCGGCGUGCCUAAUACAUGCAAGUCGAGCGAAUGGAUUAAGAGCUUGCUCUUAUGAAGUUAGCGGCGGACGGGUGAGUAACACGUGGGUAACCUGCCCAUAAGUCUGGGAUAACUCCGGGAAACCGGGGCUAAUACCGGAUAACAUUUUGAACCGCAUGGUUCGAAAUUGAAAGGCGGCUUCGGCUGUCACUUAUGGAUGGACCCGCGUCGCAUUAGCUAGUUGGUGAGGUAACGGCUCACCAAGGCAACGAUGCGUAGCCGACCUGAGAGGGUGAUCGGCGACACUGGGACUGAGACACGGCCCAGACUCCUACGGGAGGCAGCAGUAGGGAAUCUUCCGCAAUGGACGAAAGUCUGACGGAGCAACGCCGCGUGAGUGAUGAAGGCUUUCGGGUCGUAAAACUCUGUUGUUAGGGAAGAACAAGUGCUAGUUGAAUAAGCUGGCACCUUGACGGUACCUAACCAGAAUGCCACGGCUAACUACGUGCCAGCCGCCGCCGUAA